rnacentral:rRNA from 1 species
UACAGAGGUCUCAAGCGUUGUUCGGAUUCAUUGGGCGUAAAGGGUGCGUAGGCGGCGCGGUAAGUCGGAUGUGAAAUUUCGGAGCUUAACUCCGAAACUGCAUUCGAUACUGCCGUGCUUGAGGACUGGAGAGGAGACUGGAAUUUACGGUGUAGCAGUGAAAUGCGUAGAUAUCGUAAGGAAGACCAGUGGCGAAGGCGGGUCUCUGGACAGUUCCUGACACUGAGGCACGAAGGCCAGGGGAGCAAACGGG